UAGGCCAGGGCCAGAUUAGCCACCUCCACACCCUUUCCAAACCAAGUGGCAGCCUGAGCCCCAGUUCUCCUUCAAUUACCUGAUCAAGGAAUCUCAACUCCCAGUGUGAGUUUUUCCCACCACAGCGUGAAUCCAGGUUGUUCCUGCAAUGUUAUGCAAUGUGAGUGGAGCUUUCUAACAAUAAGAGCACCAUCUAUGGUCUGGCUGUCUGCUGAGCAGCCUCAUCUGUCAAAGGAGCAGAAAAUUCCAAAGCAUGAUCCUAUGAAUCAAACCUGACACCCACAGACACAGGAGCUCCCUCCUCCCCAACCGCCAAACCCUCAAGCUUCCACAGAGAUCUGAGCCUCUCUGGGUUGAGGAAGAGAGGGACUGUUCUCCCGUAUUAAUCAGAUCCCAUUAAUUUUUCAAAGUAGACAACAGCCCACUUACUCAUCUGCUGUGGAGCCUCAUCCAUAAUUGAUCCUGAACUGCACUUACCCUAACAGACCGC
rnacentral:lncRNA from 1 species